GGCUGCAAAGCCCAAAGACACAGAUGGAAAUCAGGGGAUUGGAAACCAUCUAAAUCCAAAUGCCUUUGCUUGUCUCUCAGAAUUCAAGCCUGGAUGGAUGCUGUUAUGCUUUGAACAAAUCCUUCAAGUGGAGUGGAGAAAGUUGGUCUGUGUUAGUUCCUCCGCUCCUGGAGUCUUCUGGCCUCUCUGACAGAUAGGACAUCUGAGAGCAAAUGUCCCACACUUGACUCCAGGACCAGGCAGAAGGAGAUGAAUCAUAUUGCAAAACUGACAGGUGAUCAGCAUUUACUAUCUCAAACCAACAGGAAACAAUGUGUGCCAAGGUAUAUUUUAUCAGGAUCUGGCCAGGAGGUGACAAGUGGAAAGAUUUCUGUUUAAAAACUUCGCACAGCAGACACGGAGAGAAAAGACCCACAGAGUGAAGAAUUCUUCAAGCCAGCAAGUUUAUUUGCCCCAUGAAAUUUCAGUGCUUCUGAACCUUUGAGAUGGCCUGACAAUAAAACUGGAUGAGGCUGGUUUGGGGUAUAAGCAUUUUGCUUAAGGUAUUGAGAAAAAAAUAAUGGGAGAAGUGAAUCAAACAUUAUUGUCAGGUUUUUGCUUCUCCAUGACUCUACAUUGUGACUUUUAGUGUGUAGCUAUCUCCUUGACAGCACCUACUGUCUCGAGAUCAUUCUCUCCCAGCAGAAGAGAAAGAAGUGGUGUAAAAUUCAGCAGCAGAGAACUGAGCAAGGGAAGGCUGCACUGAUAACAUCAAGGUGGCUCAUUCCUCAUCUGAAUUUUUGUUCUUUCUUUUGUGCUAUGUUGAUGUGAGAGUUGGUGUAUUGAAGCUCGGUCCUGCAGACCCGCUUCGUGUGUACAGGGUCUCCAUUGCUGAAAAAAAACUGUGAAGAAAGAAAAAUUAUUAGUAACCCGUGAACAACAAAUUGAAGCUGCUACACUGAGGAGUGGGUGUAGAUCAUGGGACGCUGUGGAGUCUCAUCUGGGACACGUAUUUCACUUUGCAUUUUAGCUUCCAGCUAUACUGGAAGCCCUGAUCACUCAAUGGAUUUGGUUUUUUUACCUCCCUUCUUAGAUAUUUCAGCAGAGUUUGAAAUUAUUGCAGCAGAAUUGGUUCAUUUCUAAUGUGUGCAAUACCUAUUUAAUCUGUUCUUCCCCUCACAGCUUUUGACUCCAAGAACUGGUAACCAACUAUGUAUUUAAAACUAAAAAAUUGAAAUAGGACUACAGAGUCUCAUGGCCUGACAGAGCCAGACUAAAGAAUGGAAACUACUGGGAGGACAUCUCACUCCCAUAAAAGCCCUUUUCAAGAUCUGUGCACUCUUUGCUGAUGAUGCUGGCUUUAGUAGAGGAACCCUCUGGUAUUAGGUUACUCUUUCAUCACUUUUAAGUCCUUGGAGAUUUGUUCUCAUCUUUAGGCCUUGGCUGCUAACACUGCAGAAUAUAUGUAAAUUGCAGUAAGAACUACAGAGGUUUGCUCAGAGCAAUCCCAGGCAAAUGUUCCAGAUCUCAGUGUGCUUGGUGCACAAUUACGAAAUUCAACAAGGGCAAGUGUAGAGUGUUCCCUCUGGGAAAGAAUAACCCCAUGUGCCAGUGCAGGUUGGGGAAUGAACUGUUAGAGAGUAGUGCAGGUAAAAGGGAUCUGGGGGUCCUGGUGGGCAGCAGGAUGAGCAUGAGCCAGCAAUGUGCCCUCGUGGCCAAGAAGGCCAGUGGCAUUCUGGGAUGUAUUAGAAGGGCUGUGGCAAGUAGGUCGAGAGACGUUCUGCUCCCCCUCUACUCUGUCCUUGUGAGACCACAUCUGGAAUAUUGCGUCUAGUUCAAGUUCUUGAACUGCCCCUCAGUUCAAGAAGGACAGGGAGGUGCUGGAGGGAGUUCAGUGCAGGGCCAUAAAGAUGAUGGAGCGGAACAUCUCCCUUCUGAUGAAAGGCUGAGCUAGCUGGGGCUCUUCAGCUUGGAGAAGACUGAGGAGUGACCUCAUUAGUGUUUACAAAUACAUAAAGGGCAGGUGUCAGGAGGAUGGAGCCAGGCUGUUCUCAAUAAUUUCCAAUGAUAGGACAAGGGGCAAUGGGUACAAGCUGGAACAGAAGAGGUUACAAGGUAGCAUAAGGAAAAACUUCUUCCCUGUUGAGAUGAGAGGGCGCUGGAACAGGCUGCCCAUAUGGUUUGUGGAGUCUCCUUCUCUGCAGGCAUUCAAAGCUCACCUGUAUGAGUUCCUAUGUGGCCUACUCUAGGUGGUCCUGCUCUGGCAGGGGAGUUGGACUUCAUGAGCUUUCAAGGUCCCUUCCAGCCCUUAAGAUUCUUGGCUCUGUGAUUCUGUGAUUCUGUUUAGUUACCACAAUAGUUUUGUGAUCUUCCCCAAAUAGUAUACAUUUAAUUUCACUGCUUUUGCUAGUCACGAGUUGUCCACAGACUGCAAAUAUGUGACCACAAAACUUACUGAAGUAAAUUGAUUUGGACUGUUGGUUACUUAGUAGGAUUGCUGGUUGGACUCCAGCUCUUCCUUGCAAUGUUCGUGCAGUAUACAGCUUGUGCUCUCUUAUAUGAGAUCAGGAGAUCUGUCGCUUCUCGUGAGAUUGUUGGGAAAUAAAAUCAAAGCAGUAUAUGAAUUUGUGGACUAUCUUUUGGCAAUUUAUCGGAUGAGAUACUGACUGCCAACUACCUCAUGAAUGGAUGAGAAGGUCUCUAAAUUGGGAUCUUUAUCUAGGGUUUAAGUAAACCUUAACCAUGUCCAAAGAUUUUGUAUUCAUCCUCUGUUCUCAUGAUUUCAAUGACCUUAAAAUCCUGCUAUGAGUUAAAGGAAGAAAAAAAAAAACCACAUUUAAUAUGUUUCUGUAGGAUAGACUCCUUAAAUUAACAUUUCCAGGCUAAAUUUUCUAGUGAUCUGCUCCACUACAGUACCUAAAUUUCCACAUUCUGAGAAGCUGAAAUAAAAAGCUGAAGAUUGCUCAUGUAGACAUUAUUUUUCCCCGUUAAGUCACUGUUUUUCCACAUGAAUCACAGGGUAAAGAUAUCGGGCUUCAAUUCAGAUUAUGACAGUAUCUAAUGUCUUUUCCACAUACAGCUUCAAACUAGGAGAAGACUUCCUCUCUUGUUUUCAUGGGAAUUUUGUGAAUUCCAGUAUGUAUAUUUUUCCAGCUGUAGUAUUUUAUUUGCAACUCGUAAUUGCCAAUUGAAAUAUUACCUUUCCUAUGGAAAAGUUACUAAUACUAAAUCUUAGAAACAUAAGUUUAUUUCAAGUACUCAGGUUAGAUAAUUUCUAUGCAUAAAGCAGUGUCUGUAAUGCUCUGAAAUAACUCUCUAUAGGUGUCAACACCUGGAUAUGGGCUUCAUUACUUAUAUAGAAAUCUGCUUGUACAAAGCUUAAGGGCAGAGGGGGGUGCAUUACAUCUUUAGCUUAAGGUCAUUUGAGGCAAACCUUUCCCUUAUAAAUCUGUGACAAAAAAUAGUCUGAUUGAAGUGGCCAUCUGGUUUCCUUGGGAAGGACUGAAUAAAAGUAGCUAGCGCUACAUUUACAGGGUAGACUUUUUAUCCGCCGGCCUGAUUUUUAUCCUCGGUGUCCAUGGAUUGGAUCAAUCCUAACCACAAAUACAGGUUGGGCAGAGAAUAAACUGAGAGUAGCUCUAAGCAGAAAGACUUAGGGAAGAAGCUCAACAUGACCUGUUAUUGUGCACUUGCAGCCCAGAAAGCCAACUGUGUACUGGGCUGCGUAAAAUGAAUCAUGGCUGGCAGGUCAAGGGAUGUGAUUCUGCCUCUCUACUCUAAUCUCAUGAGACCCUCUUCCUGGAGCACUUUGUUCAGCUCUGAGAACCUCAACAUAAGAAGAACAUGGACUUGUUGGAGCAAGUCCAGAGGAGUGUUAUGCUGGAGUGCCUUUCCUAUGAAGACAGGCUGAGAAGAAAAGGCUCUGGAGAGACCUUGUAACAGCCCUCCUUAAAGGAGGCUACAAGAAAGCUAGAGAGGGACUUCUUAGUAGGAUCUGUUGUGAUAAGGACUAAUGGCUUCAGACUGAAACAAAGUAUAUUUAGAUUAGACAUUAGGAAGAAGUUCUUCACUGUGAGGGUGGUGAAACAUUAAAACAGAUUACCUAGAACAACCUGGUCUAGUGGAAGGUGUCACUACCCGUGGCAGGGGAAUUGGAAGUAGAUGAUCAUUAAGGCCACGUGCAACACAAACCAUUCUAUGUUUCAAUGAAAAAUACAUCUAGGAAAGCCAGGGAUGAGGAAAAAGCAUGGCCUAUGUGAUAUACUGUAUACACUAUGUGUAUCAAUGUUCCUGUUACAGA